UGCCCUAUCAACUUUCGAUGG
rnacentral:ncRNA from 2 species